rnacentral:rRNA from 1 species
UACAGAGGGGGCGAGCGUUGUUCGGAAUUACUGGGCGUAAAGGGCGCGUAGGCGGCCAACUAAGUCAGACGUGAAAUCUCUCGGCUCAACCGGGGAACUGCGUCUGAUACUGGAUGGCUUGAAUUCGGGAGAGGGAUGCGGAAUUCCAGGUGUAGCGGUGAAAUGCGUAGAUAUCUGGAGGAACACCGGUGGCGAAGGCGGCAUCCUGGACCGAGAUUGACGCUGAUGCGCGAAAGCCAGGGGAGCAAACGGG